CAGCAGCCGCGGGAAUACAGAGGGUGCGAGCGUUAAUCGGAUUUACUGGGCGUAAAGCGUGCGUAGGCGGCUUCUUAAGUCGGAUGUGAAAUCCCUGAGCUUAACUUAGGAAUUGCAUUCGAUACUGGGAAGCUAGAGUAUGGGAGAGGAUGGUAGAAUUCCAGGUGUAGCGGUGAAAUGCGUAGAGAUCUGGAGGAAUACCGAUGGCGAAAGCAGCCAUCUGGCCUAAUACUGACGCUGAGGUACGAAAGCAUGGGGAGCAAACAGGAUUAGAUACCCCGGUAGUCCCUGUCUCUUAUAC
rnacentral:rRNA from 1 species